rnacentral:rRNA from 1 species
AUUGGACGCUGGCGGCAUGCCUUACACAUGCAAGUCGAACGGUAACGGGCCUUCGGGUGCCGACGAGUGGCGAACGGGUGAGUAAUACAUCGGAACGUGCCCGAUCGUGGGGGAUAACGAGGCGAAAGCUUUGCUAAUACCGCAUACGAUCUACGGAUGAAAGCAGGGGACCGCAAGGCCUUGCGCGGACGGAGCGGCCGAUGGCAGAUUAGGUAGUUGGUGGGAUAAAAGCUUACCAAGCCGACGAUCUGUAGCUGGUCUGAGAGGAUGAUCAGCCACACUGGGACUGAGACACGGCCCAGACUCCUACGGGAGGCAGCAGUGGGGAAUUUUGGACAAAGGGCGCAAGCCUGAUCCAGCCAUGCCGCGUGCAGGAUGAAGGCCUUCGGGUUGUAAACUGCUUUUGUACGGAACGAAAAGCCUUCUUUUAAUACAGGAGGGUCAUGACGGUACCGUAAGAAUAAGCACCGGCUAACUACGUG